AGUGAACGCUGGCGGUAGGCCUAACACAUGCAAGUCGAACGGCAGCACAGUAAGAGCUUGCUCUUACGGGUGGCGAGUGGCGGACGGGUGAGGAAUACAUCGGAAUCUACUUUUUCGUGGGGGAUAACGUAGGGAAACUUACGCUAAUACCGCAUACGACCUACGGGUGAAAGCAGGAGAUCUUCGGAGAUUGCGCGAGUGAAUGAGACGAUGUCGGAUUAGCUAGUUGGCGGGGUAAAGGCCCACCAAGGCGACGAUCCGUAGCUGGUCUGAGAGGAUGAUCAGCCACACUGGAACUGAGACACGGUCCAGACUCCUACGGGAGGCAGCAGUGGGGAAUAUUGGACAAAGGGCGCAAGCCUGAUCCAGCCAUACCGCGUGGGUGAAGAAGGCCUUCGGGUUGUAAAGCCCUUUUGUUGGGAAAGAAAAGCAGCAGGUUAAUACCCCGCUGUUCUGACGGUACCCAAAGAAUAAGCACCGGCUAACUUCGUG
rnacentral:rRNA from 1 species